UACCAGCACCCCGAGUGGUCGGGACGAUUAUUGGGCCUAAAGCAUCCGUAGCCGGUCCUACAAGUCUUCCGUUAAAUCCACCUGCUUAACAGAUGGGCUGCGGAAGAUACUAUUGGGCUAGGAGGCGGGAGAGGCAAGCGGUACUCAGUGGGUAGGGGUAAAAUCCUCUGAUCCAUUGAAGACCACCAGUGGCGAAGGCGGCUUGCCAGAAUGCGCUCGACGGUGAGGGAUGAAAGCUGGGGGAGCAAACCGG
rnacentral:rRNA from 1 species